ensembl:lncRNA
AAAUCUUCAGUCUUCUCUUUGUAUGAAAGCUGGAUACUGAGGAAACUCAGCUUUCAAACACUUUCAUGGAUUUCAAAUUCAGCUCAUUUUCAAUUUGUUCUGUACGAAGACAAGUUUGGAACUUCAAACUAUAAGGAUCUGGCAUUUGUUAAAACCUGAUUGAGAAAACCGUGUCUGAAGUGAACGUAAAGCGUAGCUAGAUUCUCACCACAGGGACCUUUUGGCUGUUCCUGACCUGAACGCUAUUCAAGACAACAAGGACACACGUCGGUCUCAGGCCGAUUCCCCUCAUCGCUGUCUUUUGCCAGCAAGGAAUGCCCUUUUCACACUGCUACACAGUCGACAUACAAGUUCUACAGAUCAUGUCCAAAACCAUUCAUCUCAUCAUCAAUAGACAAAGGUUAAAAAAAGAAUUCAGAUUUUGUCGACCGAUACCUCUUAUCUGCAGUUUGUAUGCCUAGCGUUGCUUUGAAUAGAUAAAGAGGUUUAGCCGUGUCAUUAAAUUAUGUCUUAUUCUUCUCAUAUUGGUGUUGCUAUACUUAUCAGUUAACACCCAAGUUGUGAUUAAGACUGAGAAAAAGCAAACAAACAUGGAGGCCUCACAUCAGUCAAUCAUUUAAGGGGAAUUACAUACAUUUACUGGAUAGAAUGCUAUAAUGUCAUUGGACGUCCUUUUCCAAUUACCUUAGCAGUCGUACAAAGUAAAGACAGAAAUGCUCAUCGCAAGUCAGCAACAUAAUAAUCUUCCUGACUUUUGUUCUACGUGAUGUGAACGCAGCAUUAAACCCUGUAAAUACCUGAAUGUGAGACCCAGCAGAUGCUUCAUUAUCUGUCUAUCUGUGCUACAGCAUUAAUAUUUAAUGUAAGCCAGCCGUCGCUCUUCAUGCCCGGUGUGAAAAGGGCACAACUGGUGUGUGUUUUGUUGUAUUGUCCUAUUCUAGUCAGAGCCAAAAGUCUUACUGGUGCACCUUGACCCAUGACGUCUUUUUUUCAAGAUUACGAUGAGAUUUUACUUGUUUGUCUCUCGUCAUUCCUCAGAAAUAACACAAGUUUCUUCUGUUGAGCGGUGUUCCAGGAUACUGGAUAAAAUGCCGCUGCAUCCUUUGCAAUAUGUUUAAAGCAAACGGGGCUGUGAGCUGGAUUGUUUUUGCCAUAUCCAAAUGGAAGGAAAUCUGUUUGGGAUUUCAGAAGCAGCUGGCUGUGUUUCUGUUGUGCGAAAGCCUGAUGAAUAAUUUGAAACUACUUCAUUUCUGUUAAAAAUAACCAGAAGCGCUGAGUCUUGACUCCUACGUCGACCUGUGUGUGACUGCAUGGUGUGGCUGUGAGUUGUACUGUAUGUAUAUACGUGCUUUCAUACAUGUAGGAGUGUGUGUGUGUGUGUGUGUGUAGAUAUGCAUGUGUAAUACACGCACAUGCAAUACACUAUGACACAUUCACACCCCUAUGUGAGUACAGCAAAAACCUAUUUUGUUUUGGUACUAAGUACACUACUAUACUAGGGGUUUGUUUUGUAAGUUAUUUGGAAUAAAAAGAAACAGUGGACGGUGAUGUAUUGAUCAUUUGUUGUUUUUAUUCUUGUACAUUGUGUUCAUAAAUGUAGUAAUUAUUUCAUUGUAUGUAUUAAUUUGCUGUUACAUGUAAUACGUUAAAUGCUACUUUCAUUAUGAUUUAAAAAAAUGAAAUGAAUGCAAAACCUUUCCCUGAGCUGGAAAAACUGAAUGCAUAAAAAAAUGACUUGUUUGCUCAUUAUCAGUCCUAAUAGGUUAUUUGUUCCAGUUUCUCAUGGCUCAAUAAAAUCCAC